rnacentral:rRNA from 1 species
CGUACGUCCUACGAGAGGUAGUUUCGGUACUCCUCGGACUACGAGGACGAACGCUUGGGCGGCGUGCUUAACACAUGCAAGUCGAACGAUGAAGCCUAGCUUGCUAGGUGGAUUAGUGGCGAACGGGUGAGUAAUACGUGAGUAACCUACCUUUAACUCUGGGAUAAGCCUGGGAAACUGGGUCUAAUACCGGAUACGACCAAUCUCCGCAUGGGGUGUUGGUGGAAAGCGUUAUGUAGUGGUUAUAGAUGGGCUCACGGCCUAUCAGCUUGUUGGUGAGGUAACGGCUCACCAAGGCGACGACGGGUAGCCGGCCUGAGAGGGUGACCGGUCACACUGGGACUGAGACACGGCCCAGACUCCUACGGGAGGCAGCAGUGGGGAAUAUUGCACAAUGGGCGCAAGUCUGAUGCAGCGACGCCGCGUGAGGGAUGACGGCCUUCGGGUUGUAAACCUCUGUUAGCAGGGAAGAAGAGAGAUUGACGGUACCUGCAGAGAAAGCGCCGGCUAACUACGUG